rnacentral:tRNA from 1 species
GAGACUCUAGUAAAAAUAUUACAUAGCACUGUCAGCGCUAAAUAACAGAAUAAAACCUGUGAGACUCA